rnacentral:rRNA from 1 species
UACGGGGGGGGCAAGCGUUGUUCGGAAUUACUGGGCGUAAAGGGCGCGUAGGCGGCCUGCUAAGUCGAACGUGAAAUCCCUGGGCUCAACCCAGGAACUGCGUCCGAUACUGGAAGGCUUGAAUCUGGGAGAGGGAUGCGGAAUUCCAGGUGUAGCGGUGGAAUGCGUAGAGAUCCGGAGGAACACCAGCGGCGAAGGCGGCAUCCUGGACUGGUCCUGACGCUCAGGAGCGAAAGCGUGGGGAGCGAUCCGG